rnacentral:lncRNA from 1 species
AGGUGCUUCCUGCUAGUAAGCUGUCACGCGAUCGUCAUGGAGUACAGUGCUCCUGACAGUGAAGGGUGCGCUUACAGUUAGCAUGCCCAGGUUACAGGUCUGACUCUGGGUUCUGAUUGGAAUGCUGGACGUUCAAACAGCAUUGCAGGGAGAGGACCUUCCGCUCUGAACCUUACUUUUAGUAACUGUAAUAAUUCACUUUUAACAACAACAACAAAACAACAACCUAGCAGUGGGGAUAAUACCUAAAUUAAGACGACUUG